AUGCAGCAGAUGAAGAAGGGUUCCUCUGGUCCUCCCUCCAGGUGUUCAACAAACCAGAGCCAGGGGAAUCCAGACAGGCGGAGGUUGAGGCGAGGGGAGACGGUGGAGGUCAGCAGCCCCUCGGCGAGCCUCGCCGCCGGGCCCCGGCUGAGAGAGCGGCCCCUGAGUCGCUGUCACACCCUGGACUCGGGAGAACAAACGCCGGAGCCCACACGCGCUCCAGACGCGCCUGAAAACACUCCGCAAGAGAGGAAUCGGACAGACGACGCGCACACUGACAGAGACGACGCACAGCCUGACGCCAACGAAACCCACUCCAACGGUAGCGAGACCUCACCAUCCUCGCCCGCUGAUGCACCGUCACACGCCAAUAAUCCGUUUGAACCCCGUCCCACACACACUCCAACCGCUCGCUGUGCUUCACGUGACGCCGCCGAGCCGUCCGACACCACCGGCCAGAGUCUCCGCUCUCGGAACGGAGAGCUGGAGUCGUCGGACGAUCACACUCACGGCAACAACGAGGCUUUGCCGUCUGAGGACACGGACGGAGACUCCGGUCCUUCCUGCCCCGCUGAGCUCCACCCCACAAUCCAAUCUGACAGAGGCGAUCAGAGAGACGGAGACCACACGGAGUCGAAUCCUGAAGGCUUCAACUGAAAUGAACGGAGACAUCGUGAGGAUUCGUACAGGGAGAUUAUUAAGGAGCACAAAACUGACUUGAUUUUUCCCCCUUCGCCACGAAGUAACGCCAAAAAAACUAAAAAGAAGCAACGAAAGGACACGACUUGAGAUCAGACGUGGCGUCGACUCUACGCAGCCGACUGUCGCUGCAUCCGUAGUAGGAGAAACUACACAGUGAAGUCGCAUUUCUGUGGGCUGACUUCUACUAAACAGUUCUUCAACCGUUUUAAUUUUGCAGAAACAAUGCCAGCGUGGAAAAGUGUAAGCGGUUAAAAGAGCCUCCUCUUCCUCCUCCUCACCCGAGUUUAAAGCACUUUCUUCUUCUAGCCUUCACAGUAAAGAAAAAGGGAUACAAACUGUUAUUUUAAUUUGCGUGAAUGUUGUUGAUUUAGUUUUGAUUCAAGCCACCAGACUGUAGCUCUGAUCUGCACCAGACUUCAUUUGAAGAACACGUUGUUUUACUUGAAUACUAGUUCGUUUUUUUUUAGCGUUCAUGAAUGAAUUUACAGUUUGGUUGGUUUUGCUUGUUUUCCCUGUUUAACAUUGUACUCCACUUAUAUAUAUUUUUGUUUUAUUAGGAUUCUUUUAAUUUUAUCUAUGACUCUUUCUGACGGUAGUGUGAUCAGAGAGGUUCAGCUUCUCCUGAAUGUGAGAAUGUGUUUUUCUGCACAGACGUAGAGCACGUUCAAGGAUCACACAGCUGGGUUUUUAAUGUUUUUAUUCAAGCACAGAUUGGUCAGCAGUGACGCAGAAGAUAAGAGUUGUUAAAGAGCGGAAGAAAACGUGCAAAACCACCAGAGAGAAGAAGAAUUCAAACUUAUUUAAUACAAAUUACAUUAUGAAACGACUGCAGUACUGUAGAAUUGUCACCAUCAGCGUUACUGUUCACAAUAAUGUCCACGUCUCUCACUGUGCGUGUUUGACUGUAGUGAGGACGAAGCUUCACUUUAAACCGACUAGGGCUGGCUUAGAGUAAUCAAUCCUCCGUUUAAAAUCAGUCUUUGUUUGCGUGAUCUAGAGCUGCGCAAUUAAUCGCAAUUUUAUCGAAAUCGCAAUAUGAACUGGUGCAAUAUCCAAAUUGCAGGGGGGCGCAAUAUUUGUUAAAGGCAAAAUAUAUGUCAAACCGUUCUAAAAUAAAGUAUUGUGGUGCUGCUGAGACAUCCUGGCCUACAAAUCCUAUCCUACGGACUAAAGAAAAGAUUUUUUCUUUUUAAUUUUUUUAGAUUUUUCAAUGAAAAUGAGAACAAUACAAAAAUGAUCAUUCCCUCCAAUAUCAUGAAUCAUAUCACAAUCGCAAUAUCAGUCAAAUAAUCGCAAUUAGAUAUUUUCCUCAUAUCGUGCAGCCCUAACGUGAUCCGAUUUCGAUUAAUAAAAUCUAGAAAUCUAUUUUUUUAAUUCUUGAAUUUUCACAAUGACUGUAUUAGCAAAAAGUCCUUUAAACUAACUUUUUUGGGGGGUCAAUUCUUAUUGUAAACGUCAUCGUAAAGAGAUUCAAGGGUUGCUUCUUGCUUGUACAAUUUCCAGCGGAAGAUCUCUGAGAAUCUUUAAUAUCCAAGCAAAAUUUGUAUUGUAACUAAAAUUAUCCUGUUACCUAAUUGAUAUUGAAUCGGAAAUGCAAUGCAAAAUCAAUUUUAGGAAAUCAUUGGCGUCACCUACAGCCCUAAAACUGUGGGUCAGUGUUUUCACUGUCAACCGUCCGUCUUGUUUCCACUCUCCUUCAAUGUGUCUACUGUAUUACACACACACACACGCACACACGCACGCACACACACACACACACACAGAAAUAUUCACCGAGUCUCCAGCAAAGCAGCGUCUUUGUAACCUUUCGGUGUCUUAUUUAAGAUGGAAGGAUGUCAAACCAAUCAGAAGUCCUAAUUAUUUUUGUAUUCUUUUUUUAUUUAAUUUCAUGUUUGGAUGGUUUAAAAAUGAUGAAUGGUGAAUGUGCCUUAUUUAAUUCACACUCAAAUAACCAAUAAUAAAGCUGGCAUUGAG
rnacentral:lncRNA from 1 species